GAAGAAAUGAGGAGAGACAAAAAUCCGAAAAAAUGAUGGUUUCUUUUCUUCCUCUGCUCUCUCUUUUUCAACUUCUCCUCUUUCUUCUUCAUCUCUUUUUUGAUCUU
rnacentral:ribozyme from 13 species